GAAAUGCGAUACGUAAUGCGAAUUGCAGAAUUCAGUGAAUCAUCAAAUCUUUGAACGCAUAUUGCGCUCUUGGGAUAGGCCCGGGAGCACGUUUCUUUGAGUAUCGAUAACACCACUCACACCAGCUGUGCUGGACUGUGGAUAUUGAGUGUCACAGUGUCGGGAAACCCGCUGCGUCACUUUAAGUCUGCCGCGCAGUGUUUCCGUAUCCCACUUGCGUACCUUUGUUCACAAAGGCAAGGUUCGUGAGUUGCGGACGUGGGUAAAAUACUAACGUUCCGAUAUCACUCAUGAGCUGAGCGAGACCGGGAAGGGGAAGCGCGCCAAAGGAAUACAUUUUUGUAACCUCUUGAAUUCGAUCUCAAAUGAAGCGAGAUUACCCGCUGAACUUAA
rnacentral:misc_RNA from 1 species